rnacentral:misc_RNA from 1 species
ACAAAGUCCUCAAAAUGCUUUGGUGGCCUUCUCAUUGCAUAAACCAUUGUCCUCAGUGAUAACAUAAAUGUCUUCUCAUUGUAUUGCUGAGAUUGUAUUUCACCAUUUGGCGAGCCACUCAUAUAUUCAUAUCCAGGCUCAUUAAAAAAGGGCUUCUGAUUCAAUAUGAGUGCUUGUAUGGAGACCAGAACUUGUAGCACAGUCGACACACCAGGAAGCCACUUCUCAUUUUCAUUACCAUGCCAGGUGCCAAGAAGGCUGAGGCAUACCUUUCCACAGCUGUACAAGUUUGGAUUGAGUCGAAGACCACCAGAAUGAUAGUAGACAAGCGGUGGUACACUGGGAUAACCACUAGGGAAGAAAACAUCAAAGAAGAAGAGACCAUCAUGGUAGGGAGUACCCUCAGCUCCAAUAAUUGCAGCCCUCAAUAGGUCCAUCCUUGAUUCAUAAACCCUAACAAAUAUAGUAUCUGGCAAAUCAUUCUCCAGGAUUCUCCAUUCCUCCUGAAUUCUCUUGGACCAAUUCUUGUGUGGCUGCUUAGUUGAAGAACCUUUAGAAGUAUAGUGAUGAUCUGAAUGAUCUUCAACUGUAUCAAACCGCUUAAAAAGUUGGUAUUUCCUCAGAAUAUCAUCUUCAUUUACAUCUAUCGGAAUUCUUCUUACACCUUCUUCAGGAAGAAUAUGUUCAGCAUGAAAUGGAUCAUAGAAAUCUGAG